rnacentral:rRNA from 1 species
UCGAGAAUUUUUCUCAAUGGGCGAAAGCCUGAAGGAGCGACGCCGCGUGGGGGAUGAAUGGCUUCGGCCCGUAAACCCCUGUCAUUUGCGAACAAAUUAAUUCACCUAACACGUGAAGUAUUGAUUGUAGCGGAAGAGGAAGGGACGGCUAACUCUGUGCCAGCAGCCGCGGUAAUACAGAGGUCCCAAGCGUUGUUCGGAUUCACUGGGCGUAAAGGGUGCGUAGGCGGUUGGGUAAGUUUGACGUGAAAUCUCCGGGCCUAACCCGGAAACUGCGUUGAAUACUAUCCGGCUAGAGGAAUGGAGGGGAGACUGGAAUACUUGGUGUAGCAGUGAAAUGCGUAGAUAUCAAGUGGAACACCAGUGGCGAAGGCGAGUCUCUGGACAUUUCCUGACGCUGAGGCACGAAAGCCAGGGGAGCAAACGGGAUUAGAUACCCCCGUAGUCC